GGCGGACGGGUUAGUAACGCGUGGGAACGUACCCUUUUCUACGGAAUAGCCUCGGGAAACUGAGAGUAAUACCGUAUACGCCCUUCGGGGGAAAGAUUUAUCGGAGAAGGAUCGGCCCGCGUAAGAUUAGAUAGUUGGUGGGGUAAUGGCCUACCAAGUCUACGAUCUUUAGCUGGUUUGAGAGGAUGAUCAGCAACACUGGGACUGAGACACGGCCCAGACUCCUACGGGAGGCAGCAGUGGGGAAUCUUAGACAAUGGGGGAAACCCUGAUCUAGCCAUGCCGCGUGAGUGACGAAGGCCUUAGGGUCGUAAAGCUCUUUCGCUGGGGAAGAUAAUGACUGUACCCAGUAAAGAAACCCCGGCUAACUCCGUGCCAGCAGCCGCGGUAAUACGGAGGGGGUUAGCGUUGUUCGGAAUUACUGGGCGUAAAGCGCGC
rnacentral:rRNA from 1 species